GUUCCUGGUUUUGGAUGUGGAACUCAGGCAUUGCAGUGGAGGACAGACACUGAAGUCAGGGGCUGGUGCACUUGGACUCAGAGGUUUUUUAGAAGACUCCUGUAGAUAAGCAGGUUUUUCUGUUGAGGAGGACUUCAUAUUACACAUUAUAGAGGAAAUGGGCACAAAGGUGUUCAUUUUCAACAACAAAUCAAAGGAAGGGCACACCCUCCCCAAGAGUAUACCUUAUUUAAUCAGAGGAUCCUGUUUGGGAACCCCUUCCUGCAGAUCCUGAUGCCUUCCAGCACACCGUUACAGCGCAGCUGGUGCAUCACCAGAGGGUUCUCCAUGGCCCCAGGAGUCUUGGUCUCAUUGGGGAUGAUGCAGCGCACAAAGUGAGGAGGGUGGAUCUCUGUGAGGAACCAAACCUGAGUGCUGCUUGUCUUCUCAUUGUGAAAUGAGCAGGACACAGAGAAAUAAAGAUAAGGUUUGUCUUGGAGGAAUGGACUCCACCCAUCCUGUCAGUCGGACCUCCUCAAGUCCACUUCUUUUCUUUCUUCUGAAAGCGUCCUCCUCCUCCUCCUCUUGCCGCCUUUGAAAAGAAUGUGUAUUUCAAGAGACAGACUGGCCUCCUCUUCUUACAUGAAGAGGAUCCUGUUUGGGAAUCCCUUCCUGCAGAUCCUGAUGCCUUCCAGCACACCGUUACAGCGCAGCUGGUGCAUCACCAGAGGGUUCUCCAUGGCCCCAGGAGUCUUGGUCUCAUUGGGGAUGAUGCAGCGCACAAAGUGAGGCUGUCUGAAUCCCCGGUGGAGAUCUUCCUCUGAUCUGUGCCCCCCUCCUGGCUUUUGUCUUUCCUCGUCGUACGGGAACAUAGCUGUAACCAGACUCCACCAAGGACAAGACCACGCAAGAUCAGGGUCAGCUUCAAGCCCAAGCCUUGUGUCAGGCUGACAUGUCCCCUUCACUUGGCUUCCUCUGAUGGUGCCAGAGCUGAGGCUUCAAAUCUUUCCUCAUGCUGCUCAAGAAGAAUGAUGUACGGUCACUUUGAGGACAAAAAGGAUUACAGCACAGGAGUCUCCUGAGGUCUUAGAUGGUCAUCUGUAAGUGUUCACUCCUCAUCGAGUCCUUUCUGUGAUGAAGAGUGACAGGAGAGUAGACAGACAGACAGAUUAGUGACUGAGGACAAACAUCUGUAACACAAGCUGCAGUCUGGUGAGGUCAAGAUGCUAACCCGAGCUACUCAUUAAAAAUUCUUCAGAGUAACAUUUAUUCCAUGUCUCAUGACGUUGCUCCACCACCCCAUCAUCCGUCCUGAAAGUCUCAUACUAAAGGCAGAGAACUUGAAAAUUGUCUAACCUAUUUGACUGCUCCACUAAAACUCAAAAUACAGAAUAAAAGUGAUCCAUGCAAACCUG